rnacentral:lncRNA from 1 species
UAAACCCCAAACACAGUGAGUGUGUCUGGGGGAACGAUCGAACAAGGAAGGAGGAGGGGGAACCCUAAACUCAAGAAAUCAAGCAAUUGAAGCCUAAAAUCAUAAGAAAAUCCAGUGCAUGAGCCAUCUUAUCGAUCAUCUAAGCAUACCUAGUGAAGUGCUUGAAAGAAUAAGAACCAUGUCAAGAUGGACCAACUCAUGGGAAGCAAACGGGUCAAAGAGGAGGCAAAGAAACUAGCAUAAACAUGACGAGCACGAGGUAAGUGAUUUCUAUAAUCACUUCUUUAGUUGUUUAAGUAAUAUAAUGUUUUAAUUAUUAAGUUCAUAUGAAGUUGAGGUCAAAUCAAUAGAUUAUUUUGAUAAAUGCACGAAUGGGUCGAAUAAUUCAUAGAUAAAUAACAAGCCGAAUACGUAUAAGUUAAGAAAUUCCUUAACUCGGAUGUUGGACUUCAAGGUCACAUGAUAGAAUAUUAAAUUACAAUCAUAUAGGAAGAAACGUGACGCAAAACGGAUGAAAAAUGAGAGAGUUAUGUCCGUUUCGGUAAGGAUUAAUGGCUAGGAAAAGUGCAGAGUUGACACGGCCGGGUGGUGAACUGACACGGCCGGGUGAAGGUUCUGUCAAAAAUAUUAUUUAUGUGAUUUAUGCGCCGUAGGUUGCGGUAUAUUAUCCGUGAAUUACGACGGGCCUCCCAAACAUGAUUUCGAGUAUGAAUACAUGAUUGUAGGUAUGAUUAAAUGUAUUCUAGGUAUGUAGAUGUGUAUGAUUGUAAGAUUGUAUGUGUGCAAGUAUGUGCGAAUGCAUGAUUUGGAUGCACUUGAGAAUUAGCGUUACUAAUAAUGCCCUUGGGUUUGGAAUAUAAGUUAAUUGGAUGCAUUUAAAUGGUUGACGUCCUUUUUAUGAAGAUGUAGUAAAUGAAUAUGUUGAGAUUACGGGUUUGGUUAACCAAGUUAUUAUUGAGUAUGUUUGAAAGUGCAGGUUAUGAAUGUCGGACUUUCAAAGUGUUGAUAUAAUAAUGAAACGGUUGAAUCUUGAAAGGAUAAUCGGAUUGAAGUAACUUAUGCGGUUAGAAUAUGCUGUGGACGUUUUAGUUUAUACAACAUUUUAUGUUUGGUCGUCAUCAUCUACCAACGGGUUAGUUGUUUGAAAAUAUAUGUCAUACCCAUUUAAUUGGGUAAUCGAAUGCGCGAGAGAAAUGAAAGUACAUACACGAAUGGAACUAAAGUGACGGUUUUAUAAGUAAAUAAGUAAAUGACUAACUUUUUAAAGCUUUGUUGUUGAAUGUAGGUAAAUCCUCAAUUCAGGCGACUUGGAGAAUCGGAGCGAGCGCGUGUUCAUGUUAUGUCAUACUAAACGCUUCCGCUAGCUUGUUCAAAUGUUUUUAGUCCAAAAUUUGUUGUAUUGGUUCUUAGUAGUAUUUUGUCGAAUGAAUCGUAGAAUUGUAUCUAGUUUGAUUAUGUUUAAAACAGGGGAAUGCUCGUUUUAUGGACGGGUCAUGCCCAAUUUUUGUUAAAUUAAUGCACCUGCGUUAUUGAUAUUAUCAUUUAAAAUUCCGAAAAGUUGGACACUUUUAAGAAAAUUUUUAUAUUUCUAGUGUCCUUUAGUCGUCUUUUAUUAGACGCAAAUGCGGACGUAACAAGUUGGUAUCAGAGCCUAGGUUUGAGGGAUUCGAGCAAGAGUAAUAGUGCUUGAACUCAAAUCGAAGGCUCGUGCAAAAGUGUGUGCUCGCUCCGAGGUCGCCAGUGAGGUAAAAUUUUAAGUAUUCGUUUAAUACGAGUAUGAUGUAAAUAUUUAAGCUAUAUAUAUACGGGAAGUAAAGUUGGAGGUUAAACGAGAAGUUCAGGGACCGUAUGGCUGGAACCGAACCGGAAAAAAAAACGAUUAAUAAGCUCAAAACAAAGAAUGCAGCGAUUUUAGUAAACGUGAGGCCGUCGCCGAUGGGAUGUUAUCCGUCGCCGAAGCCCCUUUUUGGGCCGACGCCCUAUUUAACUGCUUACGGGAACUCUGGCCGACACCCUUUUUAAAAGCCCGUCGCCGACGGGCAUCUUAUCCGUCGCCGACGGCUUACAUAAUUUCAGUCCGCUGAAAUUUCAAGUUUUCAUAAUUUUAACUAACCGUCCAUCCCGGAAGCCCGAUUCACGGUUCCAUUGAGUUCUUAUGAGACUAAGUAAGCCGUGUAGGGAUAGAACAAAUUGAUAGUGAAUGGUUGUGCGUAAUGGUAUGAAAGAAAAGACGAAUGUAUGAAGUGAAGCUCGAAAUGUAAGAAUGUAAAUAAGUAAUAUGGACUAAUGAACUAUGAUGUGUUGAAAGCUUAUGAUCCGUAUUAAAUGUAAACAUGACAUUGUGUAGAUGGCUGAUGCAAGCAACGUUAAUGAUGAUGAUGAUACUAAUGUGUUAAAUGUUUUGUGAAGGGUAAGCGCAAUUGUUGGAAGAGAUGAUCCGUGAAUGUGGUCUAGGACCGGCAUCGAGGCAAGUAAUGAAACAAAUUGACCCCAGGUACGUAAACCUAACGUAUGGGCGUAUGAAAUGGUAUGGUUAAGCAAGUGAAAGAAAAAUUUUGAACAAAUUAUGAUAACGACAUGGUAAAUAACUU